rnacentral:rRNA from 1 species
CAGCCGCCGCGGGAAUUCGUAGGUGGCAAGCGUUGUCCGGAAUUAUUGGGCGUAAAGGGCUCGCAGGCGGUUUCUUAAGUCUGAUGUGAAAGCCCCCGGCUCAACCGGGGAGGGUCAUUGGAAACUGGGAAACUCGAGUGCAGAAGAGGAGAGUGGAAUUCCACGUGUAGCGGUGAAAUGCGUAGAGAUGUGGAGGAACACCAGUGGCGAAGGCGACUCUCUGGUCUGUAACUGACGCUGAGGAGCGAAAGCGUGGGGAGCGAACAGGAUUAGAGACCCCUGUAGUCCCUGUCUCUUAUAC